GAUGAACGCUGGCGGCGUGCCUAAUACAUGCAAGUCGAGCGAACAGACGAGGAGCUUGCUCCUCUGACGUUAGCGGCGGACGGGUGAGUAACACGUGGAUAACCUACCUAUAAGACUGGGAUAACUUCGGGAAACCGGAGCUAAUACCGGAUAAUAUAUUGAACCGCAUGGUUCAAUAGUGAAAGACGGUUUUGCUGUCACUUAUAGAUGUAUCCGCGCCGCAUGAGCUAGUUGGUAAGGUAACGGCUUACCAAGGCAACGAUGCGUAGCCGACCUGAGAGGGUGGUCGGCCACACUGGAACUGAGACACGGUCCAGACUCCUGCGGGAGGCAGCAGUAGGGAAUCUUCCGCAAUGGGGGAGAGCCUGACGGAGCAACGCCGCGUGAGUGAUGAAGGUCUUCGGAUCGUAAAGCUCUGUUAUUAGUGAAGAACAAAUGUGUAAGUAACUAUGCACGUCUUGACGGUACCUAAUCAGAAAGCCACGGCUAACUACGUG
rnacentral:rRNA from 1 species